rnacentral:rRNA from 1 species
UACGUAGGGGGCUAGCGUUGUCCGGAUUUAUUGGGCGUAAAGAGCGUGUAGGCGGCCAGGUAGGUCUGCUGUGAAAACUCGAGGCUCAACCUCGAGACGUCGGCGGAAACCGUCUGGCUAGAGUCCGGAAGAGGAGAGUGGAAUUCCUGGUGUAGCGGUGAAAUGCGCAGAUAUCAGGAAGAACACCCGUGGCUAAGGCGGCUCUCUAGUACGGUACUGACGCUGAGACGCGAAAGCGUGGGGAGCGAACAGG